rnacentral:rRNA from 1 species
CGUGGGGAACCGUGCCCCAUAGUCUGGGAUACCACUUGGAAACAGGUGCUAAUACCGGAUAAGAAAGCGGAUCGCAUGAUCAGCUUUUAAAAGGCGGCGUAAGCUGUCGCUAUGGGAUGGCCCCGCGGUGCAUUAGCUAGUUGGUAAGGUAAAGGCUUACCAAGGCGAUGAUGCAUAGCCGAGUUGAGAGACUGAUCGGCCACAUUGGGACUGAGACACGGCCCAAACUCCUACGGGAGGCAGCAGCC